CCAGUUAUUUCACAGAGAAUCGCUGAAACUGUCAGUCAUAAUGGAAAAAGUCCAGAUUUACGCUUUCAUGGUGACAGUCGUGAUCUUAUUUUUGACUGCUCUGACAACAGCGGAUACCACGACGGAUAGGAAUGGAAAUAAUCUCGGGUGUAUACUUUGCCUCAAACCCCCAGACAGACAAGUGGAUGGUGUUUAAAAUGUUUUUCAUCGCUAUUAUUACGAAAGCUGGCAAUCCUAUCAGGAAUCGUUGACACAAUUGAGUUCAUGUCCUCAUUUUUGUUAUUAUUAUGUCUGUAAGAAUGAUAUGAUGAAUAAAAUCUUGAUUCAAAAAUCAUAA